UACAGAGGUCUCAAGCGUUGUUCGGAUUCAUUGGGCGUAAAGGGUGCGUAGGUGGCGUCGUAAGUCAGGUGUGAAAUCUCGGGGCUUAACUCCGAAACUGCAUUUGAUACUGCGGUGCUUGAGGACUGGAGAGGAGACUGGAAUUUACGGUGUAGCAGUGAAAUGCGUAGAGAUCGUAAGGAAGACCAGUGGCGAAGGCGGGUCUCUGGACAGUUCCUGACACUGAGGCACGAAGGCCAGGGGAG
rnacentral:rRNA from 1 species